rnacentral:rRNA from 1 species
AACGAACGCUGGCGGCGUGGCUAAGGCAUGCAAGUCGAACGGACGUACUCGGAUGGAAACUGAAAGGUACGUUAGUGGCGAACGGGUGAGGAAUGCAUGGAUAACGUACCCCGGACUCGAGCAUAGCGGCGGACUUCGGUCCUUUAGCGAAAGUGCCGGUAAUUCUCGAUGAUCCCGCUGGAUCGCAUGAUCCGGCGGGCAAAGCUCCGACGGUCUGGGAGCGGUUCAUGUCUUAUCAGCUUGUUGGUGAGGUAACGGCUCACCAAGGCUACGACGGGUAUUGGGCGUGAGAGCGUGGCCCGACACAUCGGGACUGAGAUACGGCCCGGACACCUACGGGUGGCUGCAGCAACGAAUAUUCCGCAAUGGACGAAAGUCUGACGGAGCGACGCCGCGUGCAGGAAGAAGUCCCUCGGGAUGUAAACUGCUGUCAGGGGUGAGGAAUAAAAUGACCAGCCCCACAGGAAGCACUGGCUAACUCCGUGCCAGCAGCCGCGGUAAUACGGAGAGUGCAAGCGUUGUUCGGAAUUAUUGGGCUUAAAGCGCGUGUAGGCGGGAUGCCAGGUAUCGUGUGAAAGCCCCGGUCUCAAACCGGGAAUUGCACGGUAAACCUGCAUUCUUGAGGCAGGCAGAGGUGACUGGAACGACUGGUGGAGCGGUGAAAUGCGUAGAUAUCAGUUGGAACGCCGGCGGCGAAAGCGAGUCACUGGGCCUGUCCUGACGCUGAGACGCGAAAGCGUGGGUAGCGAACAGGAUUAGAUACCCUGGUAGUCCACGCCGUAAACGAUGCGCACUAGGUAUGAGAGGCUCUGACGCCGAUCGUGCCGAAGCAAAAGUGUUAAGUGCGCCGCCUGGGGAGUACGGCCGCAAGGCUA